rnacentral:tRNA from 1 species
GAAUUAAGCCUAAUUGGUAAGGCAUCGGUCUUGAAAACCGAUAGUAGCCGAGUAAUCGGUGUCUGGGUUCGAUUCCAACCUUGC